ACGGAAGGCAGCAGUGGGGAAUAUUGCACAAUGGGCGAAAGCCUGAUGCAGCGACGCCGCGUGAGCGAUGAAGUAUUUCGGUAUGUAAAGCUCUAUCAGCAGGGAAGAUAAUGACGGUGCCUGACUAAGAAGCACCGGCUAAAUACGUGCCAGCAGCCGCGGUAGUACGUAUGGUGCAAGCGUUAUCCGGAUUUACUGGGUGUAAAGGGUGCGUAGGUGGUAUGGCAAGUCAGAAGUGAAAACUAUGGGCUCAACCCAUAGACUGCUUUUGAAACUGUCAAACUAGAGUGCAGGAGAGGAAAGAAGAAUUCCUAGUGUAGCGGUGAAAUGCGUAGAUAUUAGGAGGAAUACCAGUGGCGAAGGCGUCUUUCUGGACUGUUACUGACACUGAGGCACGAAAGCGUGGGGAGCAAACAGGAUUAGAUACCCUGGUA
rnacentral:rRNA from 1 species